CCUACGGGUGGCAGCAGUAGGGAAUAUUGCACAAUGAGGGAAACCCUGAUGCAGCGACGCCGCGUGCGUGAAGAAGUACUUCGUUAUGUAAAGCUCUGUCAGCAGGGAAGAAAAUGACGGUACCUGAGUAAGAAGCCCCGGCUAACUACGUGCCAGCAGCCGCGGGAAUACGUAGGGGGCAAACGUUCUCCGGAUUUACUGGGGGUAAAGGGAGCGUAGACGGCAGUGCAAGUCUGGAGUGAAAGGCGGGGGCUCAACCCCCGGACUGCUCUGGAAACUGUACGGCUGGAGUGCAGGAGAGGUAAGCGGAAUUCCAAGUGGAGCGGUGAAAUGCGUAGAUAUUAGGAGGAACACGAGUGGCGAAGGCGGCUUACUGGAUUGUAACUGACGUUGAGGGUCGAAAGCGUGGGGAGCAAACAGGAUUAGAUACCCGGGUAGUC
rnacentral:rRNA from 1 species